UUGAAUAACACCGUGGGACCUAUGGUGGGACAAACCUUGAAUAACGCCAUGGGAUGAAGUGCCACUAGUGAUGCUGGAAGUGCUCCUAAGAAGCAGAUAAAAAUCAUGACAUUAGAAGAAAAAAGUUUACAGCUCCAUGUGUGGAGAUGUGCACCAGCUACUGCAUGGAAUUUUGCAAUGAGCAGACUUUGAUCCUUUGAUGGAGCAAGGAUGUUAGUGUCCAGAAGAUUACCACAUCAGGGGUAUGGUGGUCAAGAGAAGCUGACUAUCCACCAUCCCUCACAAAUAUGGAUAAUCUGAGGAUAGAGGUUCCUUGAAACCUUUCUUGUAAAGAGAAACUGGAAGAUAUUGCAGCU
rnacentral:lncRNA from 1 species